rnacentral:rRNA from 1 species
UACGUAGGGUGCAAGCGUUGUCCGGAAUUAUUGGGCGUAAAGAGCUCGUAGGCGGUUUGUCGCGUCGGCUGUGAAAACCUGGGGCUCAACCCCGGGCCUGCAGCCGAUACGGGCAAGCUAGAGUUCGGUAGGGGAGACUGGAAUUCCUGGUGUAGCGGUGAAAUGCGCAGAUAUCAGGAGGAACACCGGUGGCGAAGGCGGGUCUCUGGGCCGAUACUGACGCUGAGGAGCGAAAGCGUGGGGAGCGAACAGG